rnacentral:lncRNA from 1 species
CUAGCCCAGGUGCUCUCGGCCCGUGGGGUGUUUCAGCGGGCUGCGCGGCUCCGCCAGGCCAGGGAAGCGCGGCGCAGCUUGUCAGGAACUUCUUCCAUGGGUGUGAUCCAUGCCAGCAGUUAGCACCCUAAAGUUAGCUGGCAGGUUUUCUAGUGAGCAUAUGUGGGUACAUCCUACCAUUUAUCAGCCGCAACACACUGAUGUCACAAGUCCCCUGCCUCAUUAA